rnacentral:rRNA from 1 species
AGAGUUUGAUCCUGGCUCAGGAUGAACGCUAGCGGCAGGCCUAAUACAUGCAAGUCGAACGGGCUGGAGUAGCAAUACUUCAGUUAGUGGCGCACGGGUGCGUAACGCGUAUGCAACCUACCUUUUAUUGGGGGAUAGCCCGUCGAAAGACGGAUUAAUACCGCAUAAUAUCACUUGAGGGCAUCUGAGGGUGAUUAAAGCUGAGGCGAUAAGAGAUGGGCAUGCGUGCCAUUAGCUAGUUGGUUGAGGUAACGGCUCACCAAGGCGACGAUGGCUAGGGGUUCUGAGAGGAUGAUCCCCCACACUGGUACUGAGAUACGGACCAGACUCCUACGGGAGGCAGCAGUAGGGAAUAUUGGGCAAUGGACGCAAGUCUGACCCAGCCAUGCCGCGUGCAGGAUGAAGGCCUUCUGGGUUGUAAACUGCUUUUAUCUAGGAAGAAAAAACCCCUGCGGGGGGAACUGACGGUACUAGGUGAAUAAGCACCGGCUAACUCCGUGCCAGCAGCCGCGGUAAUACGGAGGGUGCAAGCGUUGUCCGGAUUUAUUGGGUUUAAAGGGUGCGUAGGCGGCUUUAUAAGUCCGUGGUGAAAGCCAACAGCUCAACUGUUGAACUGCCAUGGAUACUGUAAGGCUUGAGUACAGACGAGGUAGGCGGAAUGGAUGGUGUAGCGGUGAAAUGCAUAGAUUACCAUCCAGAACACCGAUUGCGUAGGCAGCUUACUAGGCUGUAACUGACGCUGAGGCACGAAAGCGUGGGGAGCGAACAGGAUUAGAUACCCUGGUAGUCCACGCUGUAAACGAUGAUUACUCGAUGUUGGCGAUACACAGGCAGCGUCUUAGCGAAAGCGUUUAGUUAAUCCACCUGGGGAGUACGCCCGCAAGGGUGAAACUCAAAGGAAUUUGACGGGGGCCGCACAAGCCGUGGGAGCAUGGGGUUAA